rnacentral:rRNA from 1 species
UGAGGAAUAUUGCGCAAUGGGGGCAACCCUGACGCAGCAACGCCGCGUGAGUGAGGAAGGUUUUCGGACCGUAAAGCUCUGUCGAGCGGGAAGAAAUGUAUCGUGGCUAAUAUCCAUGAUAUUUGACGGUACCGCUAAAGGAAGCACCGGCUAACUCCGUGCCAGCAGCCGCGGUAAUACGGGGGGUGCACGCGUUGUUCGGUAUUAUUUGGCGUAAAGUGCGUGUAGGCGGCGGAAUAAGUCAGAUGUGAAAUCCCUGGGCUUAACCCAGGAAGUGCAUUUGAAACUAUUCAGCUGGAGUAGGGGAGAGGAAAGUGGAAUGCCUGGUGUAGAGGUGAAAUUCGUAGAUAUCAGGAGGAACACCGGUGGCGAAGGCGACUUUCUGGCCCUAUACUGACGCUGAGACGCGAGAGCGUGGGUAGCAAACA